rnacentral:rRNA from 1 species
CACUCCUACGGGAGGCAGCAGUGAGGAAUAUUGGACAAUGGGUGGAAGCCUGAUCCAGCCAUCCCGCGUGCAGGAAGACGGCCCUAUGGGUUGUAAACUGCUUUUAUCUGGGGAUAAACCUACUUACGUGUAAGUAGCUGAAGGUACCAGAAGAAUAAGCACCGGCUAACUCCGUGCCAGCAGCCGCGGUAAUACGGAGGGUGCAAGCGUUAUCCGGAUUUAUUGGGUUUAAAGGGUCCGUAGGCGGACUGAUAAGUCAGUGGUGAAAUCCGACAGCUUAACUGUCGAACUGCCAUUGAUACUGUUAGUCUUGAGUAAGGUUGAAGUGGCUGGAAUAAGUAGUGUAGCGGUGAAAUGCAUAGAUAUUACUUAGAACACCAAUUGCGAAGGCAGGUCACUAAGUCUUAACUGACGCUGAUGGACGAAGGCGUGGGGAGCGAACAGGAUUAGAAACCCCAGUAGUCC